rnacentral:rRNA from 1 species
GAGUUUGAUCCUGGCUCAGAGUUAACGCUGGCGGCGUGCCUAACACAUGCAAGUCGAGCGAGCUUGUAGCAAUACAAGUUAGCGGCAAACGGGUGAGUAACACAUGGGAAACCUCCCUCAAAAUGGGGAACAUCUCCGAGAAAUCGGAGCUAAUACCGCAUAAGACCACAGUCCGGCAUCGGACAGGGGUAAAAGCAGUAAUGCGUUUUGAGAUGGUCCUGUGUCCUAUCAGCUAGUUGGUGAGGUAACGGCUCACCAAGGCUAAGACGGGUAUCCGGCCUGAAAGGGUGAACGGACACACUGGAACUGAGACACGGUCCAGACUCCUACGGGAGGCAGCAGUGGGGAAUUUUGGACAAUGGGGGAAACCCUGAUCCAGCGACGCCGCAUGAAGGAUGAAGGCCUUCGGGUUGUAAACUUCUUUUGGAGGGGACGAAUAAAUUGACGGUACCCUCAGAAAAAGCCACGGCUAACUACGUGCCAGCAGCCGCGGUAGUACGUAGGUGGCGAGCGUUACUCGGAAUUACUAGGCGUAAAGCGUAUGUAGGCGGUUGUAUAAGUCUAUGGUGAAAUUUCCUGGCUCAACUGGGAAGGGACAUAGAUACUGUAUGGCUUGAGUGUUGGAGGGGGAGACGGAAUUCCUGGUGUAACGGU